GACGAACGCUGGCGGCGUGCUUAACACAUGCAAGUCGAACGAUGAAGCAGAGAAACGCGCACUUCGGUUCAAAUUUCACUUCGGAUUAGUGGCAGACGGGUGAGUAACGCGUGAGCAACCUACCUCUUACAAAGGGAUAGCCUCGGGAAACCGUGAUUAAUACCAUAUGACACAUUCAUAAGGCAUCUUAAGAAUGUUAAAGCUACGGCGGUAAGAGAUGGGCUCGCGUCCCAUUAGCUAGUUGGUGAGGUAACGGCCCACCAAGGCGACGAUGGGUAACCGGCCUGAGAGGGUGAACGGUCACAGUGGAACUGAGACACGGUCCAAACUCCUACGGGAGGCAGCAGUGGGGAAUAUUGCACAAUGGAGGGAACUCUGAUGCAGCGACGCCGCGUGAGCGAUGAAGGAAUUCGUUUCGUAAAGCUCUGUUCUAUGGGAAGAAAAGGACUGUACCAUAGGAGAAAGCCCCGGCUAAAUACGUG
rnacentral:rRNA from 1 species